rnacentral:ncRNA from 1 species
CUAAACAAGGGUUGAUGUCAUCAUUUGGCUAAAGCAAUCAUAGGCAUCUAACCCGAGCGCCGUGUAGUUCAUGUGACGCUAUCAGUGGCUUAUCAAAGAGGCGGCGGCGCAGCCACCGAUCUACAGAGUCUUUUCGAUGGUAGGAUAGUGGCCUGCCAUGGUGGCAACGGGUAACGGGGAAUUAGGGUUCGAUUCCGGAGAGGGAGCCUGAGAAACGGCUACCACAUCCAAGGAAGGCAGCAGGCGCGCAAAUUACCCAAUCCCGAUACGGGGAGGUAGUGACAAUAAAUACUGAUACGGGGCUCUUUUGGGUCUCGUAAUUGGAAUGAGAACAAUUUAAAUCGAUAGAUUUGGUAGCACGUGCCUUUUGUUUAG